rnacentral:snRNA from 1 species
GGAUGUAAGGAUAAUCUGACAGCAACAUCUGCUAUCCCAUUGAUUGUCAGGAUGAAUUCAGCUGAUCUGGCUAACUAGGUGAGUAUCCCCUACUUUCCUCGCCACUCCUUGUGUAUCCCACCCAAAGAUGAGUGCUUAGAAGAAGAGAGUAACCAUCCCAUGCAGAAGAAGAAUACCAAUUUUCAGUCAAGGAUAUAAGAUACAUUCCUCUGGGAGAUUCCCCAAACCAGCUCAAGGCCUAUUACAGGAUAUUCUCUUUAUUUAAGUAAUCAUUUCAAUGAAAGUAUUCCCAU